CUGAAAUAGAGAUGGGACCUCUCUGAUAAGAUUCUUACACCCAGAUCUUGGAAACAUUUACAAGUUCUGUUGGUGUUGAAGUGCAUGGCAGUUAAGUUAUUAGAAAUACUUGAUUGUAGUAACUUGUGAAUUGCCGCUGCCUCUCCUGCUCUGAAUCUGCACCUUGUGUUGAAGUUUGGAAAUCUGUGUAUUUAAUACAUGAAAGUCCUGUCUGAAAUUGCACUUCAAAUUAUCAAAAAAGAAAAAGAAAAAAAGAAAAGAGCAGGCACUUCGGAUUGUAGGAUUGCCAAUAGGGCCAGAAGGCUCUGCAGUAAAAAGGAUAAAGGGAAGCCUUUGAUAGGCAACAAUAAUCUAUGAAGGGGAAGCUAAAUCAAGGCCUUGUGGAAUGUAUGAGCUGACAAGGUAUUCUGUUAUGUCAGAUUGUACAUGAAAGAAUAAAAUAUAAGCAGGGCUAGGUUUUGUUUGCAAAGAUCGAGCAAGACAAAAGAAUCUUAGCUAGCUACCAAGGUGGCGAUCAUCUGCUUGGCUGUGAAAGAAGCUCUGGAGGCAACAAAAAACAAAGGAUUUACAAGGUUAUUACUCUUCUAGCUAAUGUUGAAGCAGUGGCCUUAUGGUAGAAUACAAGGCUUCCUAGAUAGCAAAAUGCAAGCAGUCGUGAAGGAUGUAUGAAACAUAGGCUGUCAAAUGGAAGGAAUAUGGCUAAGAACAUAGAAUGUUCAAAAACUACAAGAUACUUUGGGGCAUGUUUUGGGAGUGGCUAUCCGUGAUGGCGGGUGUCAUUGUAUUGGGGCUAUGUGUGCAAGAAUAGAAGCAGGCAAUGAUUGGGUUGAAGAACAUGCUCUAGGAUUAUGCAGUGCAGUGGAGCUGGGGCAUUUUCAUUUCUUAGUUGGGAUUUUUGUGUACUACUACCACUAUCAUUUUUUGUUUUUUGUUUACUGUUUUUGUGCUGUUGACUGUGAAUAUUAUUAUUAUUAUUAUUGAA